rnacentral:rRNA from 1 species
CCUACGGGCGGCAGCAGUGAGGAAUAUUGGUCAAUGGGCGGAAGCCUGAACCAGCCAAGUCGCGUGAGGGAAUAAGGCCCUACGGGUCGUAAACCUCUUUUGCCAGGGAGCAAAGUCACCCACGUGUGGGUGUUGGAGAGUACCUGAAGAAAAAGCAUCGGCUAACUCCGUGCCAGCAGCCGCGGCAAUACGGAGGAUGCGAGCGUUAUCCGGAUUUAUUGGGUUUAAAGGGUGCGUAGGCGGGUUAUCAAGUCAGCGGUAAAAUCGUGGAGCUCAACUCCAUCCAGCCGUUGAAACUGAUGAUCUUGAGUGGGCGAGAAGUAUGCGGAAUGCGUGGUGUAGCGGUGAAAUGCAUAGAUAUCACGCAGAACUCCGAUUGCGAAGGCAGCAUACCGGCGCCCGACUGACGCUGAAGCACGAAAGCGUGGGUAUCGAACAGGAUUAGAUACCCGAGUAGUC